rnacentral:rRNA from 1 species
UGAAUACGAGAUGCUACGGCGUCGAAGCAGUGUAUGUCAGACUUCCAAGAAAAGCUCGCAAUGUCAUAAAUAAAGAAUGCCUGUACCAUAACCGACACAGGUGGGUAGGUAGAGUAUACUAAGGGGCGCGAGAUAACUCUCUCUAAGGAACUCGGCAAAAUAACUCCGUAACUUCGGGAGAAGGAGUGCCUUCUUUAAGAAGGUUGCAAUAACAAGAUCCAAGCAACUGUUUAUCAAAAACACAGGUCUCCGCUAAGUCGUAAGACGAUGUAUGGGGGCUGACGCCUGCCCAGUGCCAGAAGGUUAAAGAAGUUGGUUAGCUUUUGCGAAGCUGAUGACUGAAGCCCUGGUGAACGGCGGCCGUAACUAUAACGGUCCUAAGGUAGCGAAAUUCCUUGUCGGGUAAGUUCCGACCCGCACGAAAGGCGUAAUGAUUUGGAUACUGUCUCGGAGAGGGACUCGGUGAAAUAGACUUGUCUGUGAAGAUGCGGACUACCUGCACCAGGACAGAAAGACCCUAUGAAGCUUUACUGUAACUUGAAAUUGAAAUUGGACUUUAUUUGCGCAGUAUAGGUGGAAGGCGUUGAAAGUAAUCUUGCGGGAUUAGUGGAGCCAUCAGUGAGAUACCACUCCUAUAAUGUUAGAUUUCUAACUUUGGAUCAUGAUCUGGUCAAAGAACAGUUUCAGGCGGGCAGUUUGACUGGGGCGGUCGCCUCCCAAAUGGUAACGGAGGCGUACAAAGGUUUCCUCUGAACGGGUAGAAAUCGUAUCUAGAGUGUAAAGGCAUAAGGAAGCUUGACUGUGAGACCUACAAGUCGAGCAGGGACGAAAGUCGGUCUUAGUGAUCUGACGGUGCUGAGUGGAAAGGCCGUCACUCAACGGAUAAAAGUUACUCUAGGAUAACAGGCUGAUCUCCCCCAAGAGUUCACAUCGACGGGGAGGUUUGGCACCUGGAUGUCGGCUCAUCGCAUCCUGGGGCGGUAGUACGUCCCAAGGGUUGGGCUGUUCGCCCAUGAAAGCGGUACGCGAGCUGGGUUCAGAACGUCGUGAGACAGUUCGGUCCAUAUCCGGUGUAGGCGUUAGAAUAUUGAGAGGAGCCUUCUUUAGUACGAGAGGACCGAGAAGGACAUACCUCUGGUGUACCAGUUAUCGUGCCAACGGGUAACGCUGGGUAGCUAUGUAUGGAGAGGAUAACCGCUGAAAGCAUCUAAGUGGGAAGCCCACCUCAAGAUGAG